rnacentral:misc_RNA from 1 species
AACUUUUGGCAAUGGAUCACUUGGCUCUGGCAUCGAUGAAGAACGCAGCGAAAUGCGAUAAGUAGUGUGAAUUGCAGAAUUCAGUGAAUCAUCGAAUCUUUGAACGCACAUUGCGCCCCUCGGCAUUCCGUGGGGCAUACCUGUUCGAGCGUCAUUUCAACCCUCAGGCGGUCCUUUUGGUCUGUCUGGUCUUGGGCGUCGUCUAUGGGCGUGCCUUAAAAGAAUUGUCGGCGUAGGUGCCGGCUUCGAGCGUAGCAGAUGCGAUUCGCUUUGGAAGCCGGCGCUCACCUUGCCAGAAUAAUCUCUGAAUGGCUGACCUCAGAUCAGGUAGGGAUACCCGCUGAACUUAAGCAUAUCAAUAAGCGGAGGCU